rnacentral:lncRNA from 1 species
CCACUCCCUCCCCCUCCCAUCAGGCAGCCACAAGUCUCUUCUCCAAGUCCAUGAUUUUCUUUUCUGAGGAGAUUGAACCUAGAAAUUCUGAUGCAGCAAUAUGUGGGGAAAAAACCCAGAAAUUUGUGAAGAGGUUUAAGUUCUCCAGGCUAUUAUGAAGCACAGUCAAACUUGAAAAGUUCUGAUUUCCACAAAAUCAUACUUACUAUACAACUAUUUAAAAUGCUGUUAACAAAAGGUAUUUAAAUGCCAAUAUUAGAAACAGUAUAACUCCAACUGUGUAUACAUGCUUUGUAGUAUAUAAUAAACAGUAUAACUCCUGUAUAUAUUUUAUAAAUACAUACAUACAUAUGUUAGAUACAUAGAUGUAUAGGUAUGUGGGUGGCAGGAAGCUUGGCUUAUAGGGUUUUCUCUUCUUCCUUCUUCCGCUUUACUCCUGCUCUCCACCCAUACUGCCCAAAAGACAGGGGUGACCACAGGCCCCGUCCCUGUGUACAUGUCUGAUGACAAUCGUUCUGGACUAGAGACAACAAGGGGUGGGGUCAGGAAGGCCCUGGAGAAACACACUGUGCCCCAGGCCCGGCCUCACCGCUGACACGCUGGGCAACGGACUUCUGCGCCCUAGGUCCCCGUCUGUAAAAAGAGGCUAUUGAGGGCCUUGUUUGGGAGAGUGUUGUGUCCCUGACACGAAGCACGAUGUAGGUGUUCGAUAAGAUGUUCUCUUUUCAGACCUCUUCACUGAGAUUGCCUGUAAAUUUGAUUCUAGUUAAGGCUUCAGGGCAUUCACUAACACCUUCCCACCUACGUGAGAGGUACAGACAGUCUUCUCUGCAUCAGCACUAAAUUCAUGAACCUGUCCCAGGCCCAGGUCCCCAGGGUCGGAGGCCACUGUCCACUCAGACUUUGCCCCUGGGCGUCCUCUUGGAAGAAGAAAGGGGGGUUCUCUGUCAUCCUCCCUCCAACACAUGCAUUCCCUUCCGCUCACCCCCACUCAGAGCAUUCGGUCUUGGGGUCUGCGUCUGUGUUAAAAUAUGCCCAGCAUUUGUUUCAGUCAGGUAUGCUAAGACCUCUAGACACAGACAGGGACUGUCACAAAGGAAGAAAUGUACACACAGAGAUCCCUAGAGGCAGCAGGGCACACCAUGCCAGGUCAGGCAGGGCCACGUUAGAAGCACCAGGCUAGGUCAGGAGGCAAACAAGGUGAGAGAGGAGAGCAUGGCUCAGAACGUUUUAUUGGGCCAGGUAGGGUAGGUACACUGCGUAAGCAUAGGAGAGACUUCCUCAGGCUCUGAGCCGUGGGGGUGGUCUCUAGGUGUCCGGCACCUGCUCUUGGAUGGUUGAGAGCAGGAGUGCGAGAGUUUGAUGAAGGAGAUGAUGGGGGUAUGGGUCUGGGUUGGUUGGUUUGUCUGUCAAAGGCACACUCCUGGGAGGUCAUUUGCUACCUCUAGGAAUGAGCUGGCCCAGGAAGGGGUGGUCUAUUCCAGAAUCAAGGUCCCAAAUGCCACAGCAUCAAGAAUACAAAUAAUUUUAAAAUACUGUCAACACAGCUUUGCAUAACCAACCCUCAAAAAUGCCAGUAAGGUCUUUAAAUGACACCGAGAAAAAUCAAUUGCAGGGUUAAAAAGUUUUGUGUAUUUUGGACAGUCUCGUGACAGACUUCACAACCUCUUUAAAUGACGACGCUCGUAAUUUCAGGACCAACUUUCACAAAGUAUUUUCUUUUACAUAUUUCCCUUCAUUUAAUUUCCAUACCCAUUCAAUAAGAUAAGCUGUUGGUCCCCAUUUGAUGCCUGAAGAAAUAGGCUGGUGAGGUGUUUGGGGUCAGGGGAGAGAAAAAUAAGGGACAAGCUAAUAAGCGCUAAAGGGUAGACAGUGUUAUCCUCAUUUUACAGAUGGGGACUUGGAGGCUCACAGAAAUUAAGUGGCUGCAGUCAAGUCCAGAAGCUGAAGUAGCCCCCUGGGUUGGGCACUGAACCCACCCGGGUUGGAUCUCAAAACCCAUAUCCUUUCCACUAGAUUCACUGAUUCAAGCAAUAAUGGUGAACCCCUGUGUGUUCCAAAGCUGAGCAAAAUAGAUGACAUGUUCCCUGGUCUUGGGGAGCUUACAGAACAGCAGGGGGGAAUAUUAAUCAAUUAAUCAUCAGAAAAUGUAAAAUUAGAACUGUGUUAAAUACUUUGGGGGAACGCUUCUAUGGUACUGAGCCUACCUUCUCAGUCCCCGAAUCUUUUACCCUACUGUAUAAGGAGCUUUGCAGAUAUGAUUAAGUUGAUGAUCUAAGAAUGUGGAGAUUGUGCUAUAUAGACAGGUAGGGCCAAUGUCAUCACAAGGGUCUCUACAAGAGAGAGGCAGGAGGCUCAGAGUCUGUAGCAGAAGCAAAGGUUGGAGUGGAGUGGGAUACAGGUGGCUUCUAGAUUUUGAGAAAGACAAGGUAAUAGAUUUCUCCCUGAACCUUCCAGAAGGAACACAGCCCUGCUGACAUCUUGGUUGUAAAUUUCUGACUUCCAGAAGUUAAAAUAGAUGUGCUUUUUAUUUUUUAGAGCCACACCUGAAGCACAUGGAAGUUCCCGGGCUAGGGGGUCCAAUUGGAGCUGCAGCUGCCAGCCUACACCACAGCCACAGCAACACCAGAUCAAAGCCACAUCUGCGACCUACACCACAGCUCAUGGCAAUGCCAGGUCCUUAACCCACUGAGCAAGGCCAGGGGUCAAACCGGCAUCCUCAUGGAUACUAGUUGGUGAGCCACAAAAGGAACUCACGCAAUGUGUGUUGUUUUAAGCCACCACAUUUGCGGUAAUUUGUUGCAGAAGCUAUUGGAAAUGAUUCACUCCCAUAUGGUACAGGGAGGGUUGACGGGUGCACAUGGGGGCUUUGGACUUUUGCCAAAACCUGAGGAAGCAAUUUAUGCUGAAAAUGGCAACAUCAGCACCUCCUGAGGUUCCCAGGCCACCUCUGGGUCAUUCACCCACCUGGUAGAAUGCUUUUUAUGUUGCCAAAAAGGACAUCCAUCAAGGUGGUGAGGCUAGUGUCCAGUCACAGCCCUUUGGCACCUCCUCCAGGUGGACAGCACUGUGUGUGUUAGUGUCAGAGGGGCAGAGCCAUUCCACCUGUCACCUGGCCUGUUAACUAAAGCGUGAACUGCUUCACCCUGGCACUGUGGGGACACUGGGGUCUGUUCUUUCCUGACUUUCACCCAGAAAGGAGAGAGAGCCAGGGAAAGUGAGUUCAGGCAGAUCUUGGGAUGAAGGAAGGCGCUUCUCCAGGCCCAGCCAGCUCUCUAGGCCAGCACCAGCAAUACCACCCUGCCAAUAGGCACUGCCAAACAUGGCUGGCCUCCCAGACGCUUGCAAAUUGAAGGUGAAGAGAUAGGAGACCUCUGGCUGCCAGCAGGCGCCAUUCCUCCACUCUGUAUGUUCCAUUCCCUUAAUAAAAGCAAUUUUCAAGCUACCUCCCUGCAGAGCAUUAGUGUAACAAGCUGAGUGCUGGCAGUACCAGUGCCAUCCUGAUUCUUUCAUUUGAAGCACAUGUUCAUUACAGACUUUCUUUCAAAUAAAUCAUACUUCUGGCUCAAAAGGAGAAUACUUCUCUCAGCUCACAUAGCAACCCGGUCAAGGCAACAGCACCAGAGUCUCUGUGACAUGCAUUCGACACUUGGUCUCACUAAGUGGAACAGUGCCUGGAAUUAGAGCUCUGUUCCCACCAUGUUCCUAAAAUAAUGACCAUCAAUCCUCAGGUGCAUUUUCUGUGGGUAUAGCAGUUUUCAUGCACCUGCUCUGCUUGAAGGAGGCUGGAACACCAGGCUGUAGGACAGCAGAGGGCAGGAUAGCGGCUUGGACUCUGUGAGGCUAAAUAAGGCAGCCUUCCCAGGAGGAAAGCAGGCACCAGAACCAGAAACUUCUGAUUCCAACACCAGUACUCUCUCCACCAUCCAUUCUGUUCCACUACUGGUAAUGCCAUCCUUUUGCUGAAGGCCCCCAGAUUCCAACAUUCCUCUCAAAGGUAAGAAUAACUCUCCAGCAGUCCGCCCAAACUCAUGUUAGCUUUAAAAAAACAAAAAACAAAAUACCCAAUUUUCUAAGUUGAUCCAAGGGAGCAGACAAUGGUCACUGACUGGUUCUCAGGCAUGCCCUGCUCCCUCUGGCAAGCAGACCUGGCUGGGGCCGCCAUCUCUGGGCAGACUCAGCCAGGCUUCUUUCUCUCCCAUCUCCAUCCUGCCUGUAACUGGGUAGGAAAUUUAGGCUUAUGUCUUAAAUUUUCACGGAAUGGGAGUGAAGUCUAUCCUGGAUUUCUUUCUUUACAUUGGGAGUUGUUGCAUCUAGCACUUAAUGACAAGGCACAUUUAUUUCCAUUUGGCUAUUGAGCCUUGUAUAUAAACCUCUUACCAGGUAAUGACAUGGGAGGCCAGUGUGGUUGAGCCCAGAGCCCUUAACAAGUCCUCCUGCCCAGGAAAUAAUGCUAUGGGAGGCCAUGUGGCAGGCCUUGGUCAGUAAGUAACUAUAACUGAAGGGGAACAAAAUCAAUUCUAUAUCUUGAAAAGUCCACACAAUUAUUUUAAAAUCAUAUCAUGGCAUUCAGGCAUUAUUUAAAUGACUUGAAAAUUGGUGUUGAUAAAGCUGGUAAAUGCAUUUGAUUUGGGACUAGGUUGUGGCCAAUACUUGUAGGAUAAGGAUGGACCUCUGUGGUAGAUACAGUAAUGGCCACCAAAGAUACCCGUAUCCUAAUCUCCAAACACAGGAGUGUGUAGGUUACAAGGCAAAGGGGAAUUAAAGGUGGAAUUAAGAUUGCUAACGGGAUGUCCUGAAAAUAGGGAGAUUAACCUGGAUUACUUGGGUAGACCCAAUGUAAUCACAGGGGUCCUUAAGUGAAAGAGGGAGGCAAGAGAGGAGAAUCGAGGCACGAGGCACGGCGCCUGAGAACUUGGCCUGACGCUGCUGGCUCCGAAGGAGGGC